rnacentral:rRNA from 1 species
GACGAACGCUGGCGGCGUGCUUAACACAUGCAAGUCGAACGGUGAACUCCGCUUGCGGGGGGAUCAGUGGCGAACGGGUGAGUAACACGUGGGCAACCUGCCCUCAGCUCUGGGAUAACUCCAAGAAAUUGGGGCUAAUACCGGAUAUGACCGCUGACCGCAUGGUCUGGUGGUGGAAAGAUUUAUCGGCUGGGGAUGGGCCCGCGGCCUAUCAGCUUGUUGGUGGGGUAGUGGCCUACCAAGGCGACGACGGGUAGCCGGCCUGAGAGGGUGACCGGCCACACUGGGACUGAGACACGGCCCAGACUCCUACGGGAGGCAGCAGUGGGGAAUAUUGCGCAAUGGGCGAAAGCCUGACGCAGCGACGCCGCGUGGGGGAUGACGGCCUUCGGGUUGUAAACCUCUUUCAGCAGAGACGAAGCGAAAGUGACGGUACCUGCAGAAGAAGCACCGGCCAACUACGUG